GAUCCUGGCUCAGAUUGAACGCUGGCGGCAUGCCUUACACAUGCAAGUCGAACGGCAGCACGGGAGCAAUCCUGGUGGCGAGUGGCGAACGGGUGAGUAAUAUAUCGGAACGUGCCCAGUAGUGGGGGAUAACUGCUCGAAAGAGCAGCUAAUACCGCAUACGACCUGAGGGUGAAAGGGGGGGAUCGCAAGACCUCUCGCUAUUGGAGCGGCCGAUAUCAGAUUAGCUAGUUGGUGGGGUAAAGGCUCACCAAGGCGACGAUCUGUAGCGGGUCUGAGAGGAUGAUCCGCCACACUGGGACUGAGACACGGCCCAGACUCCUACGGGAGGCAGCAGUGGGGAAUUUUGGACAAUGGGGGCAACCCUGAUCCAGCAAUGCCGCGUGAGUGAAGAAGGCCUUAGGGUUGUAAAGAUCUUUCAGGUGGGAAGAUAAUGACUGUACCACCAGAAGAAGCCCCGGCUAACUCCGUG
rnacentral:rRNA from 1 species